CCAUCAUGCUCAUCAGCAUUGGAGUCCUCUCCUCCAGUUUCCGCACCGCUUUUAGGACCGCUCUUGGGUCAAGAUGCCUUCCCCCUUGUGGCGGGGAAGAGAUACUGCAGAGAUACCCUUCUUUCUUCUCAGUAUGGGUACUGGGUCUUUGAAUUAAGCAAAAAAUUGAAGUGGUGCAUAAUAAAUUAGAUACCUUUCUGCA